rnacentral:rRNA from 1 species
UACGAAGGGGGCUAGCGAUGCUCGGAAUUACUGUGCGUAAAGCGCACGUCGGCGGAUUAGUAAGUCAGGGGUGACAUCCCGGGGCUCAACCUCGGAACUGGCUUUGAGAGUGCUGAUCUCGAGUCCGGAAGAGGUGAGUGGAAUUCCUAGUGUAGAGGUGAAAUUCGUAGAUAUUAGGAAGAACACCAGUGGCGAAGGCGGCUCACUGGUCUGGUACUGACGCUGAGGAGCGAGAGCUGGGGUAGCAAACGGG